rnacentral:rRNA from 1 species
GACGAACGCUGGCGGCGUGCUUAAUACAUGCAAGUCGAGCGAGGCCUUGGAAUUGGAGUCCUUCGGGAUGAAGAGUCCUUGGCCUAGCGGCGGACGGGUGAGUAACGCGUGGGCAACCUACCCCAAAGUCCGGGAUAACAGUGGGAAACCGCUGCUAAUACCGGAUGGCUUUACCUGAGGGCAUCCUUGGGUAAAGAAAGGUUACGCUUUGGGAUGGGCCCGCGUCCCAUUAGCUAGUUGGUGAGGUAACGGCUCACCAAGGCGACGAUGGGUAGCCGGCCUGAGAGGGUGAACGGCCACACUGGGACUGAGACACGGCCCAGACUCCUACGGGAGCAGCAGUAGGGAAUAUUGCGCAAUGGGCGGAAGCCUGACGCAGCGACGCCGCGUGAGCGAAGAAGGCCUUCGGGUCGUAAAGCUCUGUCCUUGGGGAAGAAGGCGAAAGCUUGACGGUACCCAAGAAGAAAGCCCGGCUAACUACGUGCCAGCAGCCGCGGUAAAACUAGCGUACU